GAUGAAGAACGCAGCGAAAUGCGAUAAGUAAUGCGAAUUGCAGAAUUUCCGUGAGUCAUCGAAUCUUUGAACGCACAUUGCGCCCUCGGGUAUUCCCGAGGGCAUGCCUGUCCGAGCGUCAUUAUCCAACCAUCAAGCUCGGCUUGCGGUUGAGCCCCGCACCGUCCCCGGGACGGUGGGCUCGAAACAUGUUGGGCGCCCGUGAGGUUGUCGGUGCAGCGAGCUCUCGAGCACGUGCCGGGCAACCGCUCUGGGCGUCGGCCAGCCCCCCCAUUUUCUCAGGUUGACCUCGGAUCAGGUAGGAAUACCCGCUGAACUUAAGCAUAUCAAUAAGCGGAGGA
rnacentral:misc_RNA from 1 species